AAUUGAAAAUAGCAAACUUAUCGAAAGGUAAGGACGCAAAGCUAUGAGUCUAAAGCGUGUAUAUGUCAUGAUCGUCAAGCUGCCAAU
rnacentral:ncRNA from 2 species